rnacentral:lncRNA from 1 species
UUGGCAACUAGUUUGGUCUUGAAUCUUUCAAUUGACCCAUCUGCUUUGUAUUUAACAGUGAACACCCAUUUGACAAAGAAUCAUAAAAGAGAAAGUUAUAAAUAGAGUGGUUUGUGCAAGAUUUAAUUCUUUUUCUUUGAGCAAUUGGUUUAUUUAGAUCAUCAAUGGAUUCAAAGGUUAGAGAUGACUCACUAGAUGGAGAAGAGGAAGAUUCAUAACACUGAGUAGACUGCACAAUGACUUUCUUUGCAUAUGUUUUGUCCCUUCUUGAGUAUCUCCUAAAAUCUGGUUUAUCCAAAUGCUCAAUUAUAUCUCCCUAAUCAAUAGUAGUUGUUACGUAUAAGAGAGAAGAAGAGUUAUUAAUUGGCAAAGAAUUGAUGAGGUGGCAUUAGAAGGCAGGAAAGGAAACAAGUAGUUAGCUGAAGCAUUUAGGUUGCUAUCAAGUAGUUAGUGCAGUUACUAAGUUUGCUAUAUAACUCAGAGAUCAUCUCUUAUAAUUGCAUUCCAAGAAUUAUCAAUAUUAAUCAAUCUUUCUUUCUACUAUCUCUCUCUUUCUCUCUAAUUCUCUCUACUCUGCUACUCUCCUCUUUCUUCUAUUUCUCUCUCCUUUCCUCUUGUUCUGACUCGUUAGGGAUUCAAUCUUUAACAAAUGGUACCAGAGGCAACAAGUUGGAGGCCUAAAUUCCAGGUUCUUUCCAAUAUUAUUUCUCUAUUCUCUUCUUCUCCUCUCUGAAUUUCUUCUUUCUUCUUCCCUGAUAUUUCUUCACCUCUUUUCUUUGUUCCUCUCCUUUGUUUCCCUGGAUUUUCUUUCCUUCUUUUACCUGAAAUUUCUCCAUUUUUCUUUCCCCGCUUGCCUUCUCUUCUUCUCAACAUAUCAUGUUUCUCCUUCUUUCUUUCUUUCCUUUUUCUCUCUUUCUUGAAUCAGAUUUCCUUCUUCCUUUCUUGGUUUCUGGUCAUUCCUUCUGUCCUUUUUUUGAAGUUUUUACUUUGUUCAUUUCAAAAAACCUGUUUCUUGAAGUUCUUGAAAUUUCAAUCUUUGGUUAUUGAAACUAGAUUUUUUUUGCAUGCAAUCUUGAAGUUCUCAUUUCUUUCCCAAUUUUUCUUGGAUACAAAAUACAAUCAGUCCAUGGAACAAGAAGAUUGGGAAAUAAAUAUCUUACAAAGGCUUCUUGAAUGUAUUGAGAGAUUGCAAGAAAAGUUGCACAAGGAAUCAGAUUACGAAAUGAGAAAGUCCAAGAAGCCUGAUGUUGGUGCACAGAAAACUAAUGAAGGAAAUUCUAACAAGCCAAAGGAAGACCAAGGUGCCUCAAGUGAUGGUUCCAAUAAGAAUGACAAGGUCACUAUUGAGAUGGGUCAGGAUUUUCUUUCCCUUGAUGACAAGUUUAGUUUUCAUGGGAGUGAAAUUUUGAUUCAGCAGAAAUUUGGGGAUGAUGCUAAUGGUUCAAAUAAUGAGAACAAUCAGGUUUCAAGAAAGCUCAAGAAGAGGUUAACAUUGUGGGUGAUGAAGAACAUGAAGAGGUUGAUAUUAUUAAUGUUGGAGAGGAGAUUGUCUCAUAUCAAUCAGAUUCAAUUGAAAAUGAAGAACUGGCUGCUGAGGAUCAAGAAGACAUCGAAGAAAAAAAUUCAAAAUAUCUUGAGCAUCUCAAUGUUGUGAAGACAGAUCAACAAUUUUGUCAUGGCCGUCAACAUAUAACUAAGCAGGAUGAGGUUCUUGUUGCUGGAGUUCAAUGAAUAAAGCAGAAUGUUAUUGGAUUACCCUUCCACUUCAUGGAAAAUUACUUUUGUAAAAUGGUAGCCAUGAUGGAUAUUGCAAUUUCUUGGAGUGAUAGGGAUAAAUUGAGCUUAUUAAUUCAAGAGGAUAGUGAUUGUGAGUUCUAUUCUUGUGAGUUCCUAAUUUCCAUGGAGGAUAAAUGGGAGAAAUCAAGAAGGCUAAAGAAGAAAUUAACCUUGAAAGGAGCUGCAUCUGUCAUUCUUAAAGAAGAUACAUUUGAAAGACGGAGAAGGCAGCGAAAGAAAGGUAAGCUAUUGUAAAAGAUAAGAGAAAAAGAGGAAAAAAAGAAGAAAGAAACUGCAGACGAGGGUGAUGACAAGAGACCAUCAACAUGUGUUACACAGUAUUAUUAAAUGGGUCAUGCUGCUAGAACAAGAUGCAACUGGGAGGAUCUGUCUUUCAACUGAGCUCAGUUUUCAUAAUUCUUCUCUUUCACAUUCUUAGAGACAAGAAUAUGCUAAUGGGAGAGGUAUUAUUACGUAUAAGAAAUAAGAAGAGUUAUUAAUUGGCAAGGGAUUGAUGAGGUGGCAUUAGAAGGCAGGAAAGGAAACAAGUAGUUACCUGAAGCAUUUAGGUUGUUAUCAAGUAGUUAGGGCAAUUACUAAGUCUGCUAUAUAACUCAGGAAUCAUCUCUUGUAAUGGCAUUCCAAGAAUUAUCAAUUAAUCAAUCUUUCUUUCUACUAUCUCUCUCUAUCUCUCUAAUUCUCUCUGCUCUGCAAUUCUCCCAUUUCCUCUUUUUCUGACUUGUUAGGGAUUCAAUCCUUAACCGUAUUCUCCUCCUGUAUAGCAGUCUCCCCCUAAGUAAGAGUUUCUAGAGUCACAGAACUACGAAUUAUCUCUUCUCUCUUAUAACAAAAGGUGAUGGAUCGGUACUAAAGUAAGGUUCAGCUUCUCUGAUCAUAAUAUCCAUACUGACAAAAUAUUUUUUAGAUGGAGAUUGAAAAUGAUAAUGAAAAAGAAGAGGGAAGCAGAAGUUUUGAGAGAAAAAUGCUUGAUGAUUCCCCUCAAACCAAUUGGAGUAUAAUACUACUUGUUGAAUCCCACAUCGGUUGUAGAAAGGAGUAAUGUGCCCCUUAUACGGGCCAUAGGCACUCCUCCCCUUUGAGCUAGCUUUUGGGGUGAGUUAGGUCUGGCCAAAUUUAACAUGGUAUCAGAGCCUCUCCAUCCG